UACGUAGGGGGCAAGCGUUGUCCGGAUUUACUGGGCGUAAAGAGCGUGUAGGCGGCCACGCAGGUCGGUUGUGAAAACUGGAGGCUCAACCUCCAGACGUCGACGGAAACCGUAUGGCUAGAGUCCGGAAGAGGAGAGUGGAAUUCCUGGUGUAGCGGUGAAAUGCGCAGAUAUCAGGAAGAACACCAAUGGCGAAGGCAGCUCUCUGGGACGGUACUGACGCUGAGACGCGAAAGCGUGGGGAGCGAACAGG
rnacentral:rRNA from 1 species